GUGGGGAAUAUUGCACAAUGGGGGAAACCCUGAUGCAGCAACGCCGCGUGAGUGAUGACGGUCUUCGGAUUGUAAAGCUCUGUCUUUAGGGACGAUAAUGACGGUACCUAAGGAGGAAGCCACGGCUAACUACGUGCCAGCAGCCGCGGUAAUACGUAGGUGGCAAGCGUUGUCCGGAUUUACUGGGCGUAAAGGGAGCGUAGGUGGAUAUUUAAGUGGGAUGUGAAAUACCCGGGCUUAACCUGGGUGCUGCAUUCCAAACUGGAUAUCUAGAGUGCAGGAGAGGAAAGUAGAAUUCCUAGUGUAGCGGUGAAAUGCGUAGAGAUUAGGAAGAAUACCAGUGGCGAAGGCGACUUUCUGGACUGUAACUGACACUGAGGCUCGAAAGCGUGGGGAGCAAACAGGAUUAGAAACCCCAGUAGUCC
rnacentral:rRNA from 1 species